rnacentral:miRNA from 1 species
UUAUACAAUGAAAUCACGGUCG